rnacentral:rRNA from 1 species
ACGCACGCUGGCGGCGUGCUUCACACCUGCCAGUCGAACGGAAAGGCCUGCUUUCCCUUGUGGAUUGCGGGUACUCGAGUGGCGAACGGGUGAGUAACACGUGAGUGAUCUGCCCCCAACUUGGGUAUAAGCCUGGGAAACUGGGUCUAAUUCCCGAUAGGACUGCAGGGUGGUGCCUGUGGUGGAAAACGAUUUUCUAGUGGUUGGGGAUGAGCUCGCGGCCUAUCAGCUUGUUGGUGGGGUAAUGGCCUACCAAGGCGGCGACGGGUAGCCGGCCUGAGAGGGUGGACGGCCACAUUGGGACUGAGAUACGGCCCAGACGCCUACGGGAGGCAGCAGUGGGGAAUAUUGCACAAUGGGCGGAAGCCUGAUGCAGCGACGCCGCGUGGGGGAUGACGGCCUUCGGGUGGUAAACUCCUUUCGACCGCGAGGAAGCCACCUGGUUGGAAGGGUGGUGACGGUAGUGGUAGAAGAAGCACCGGCUAACUACGUG